UACGGGGGGAGCAAGCGUUGUUCGGAUUUACUGGGCGUAAAGGGCGCGUAGGCGGUCAGCACAAGUCAGUUGUGAAAUCUCCGAGCUUAACUCGGAAAGGUCAACUGAAACUGUGCGACUAGAGUGCGGAAGGGGCAACUGGAAUUCUUGGUGUAGCGGUGAAAUGCGUAGAUAUCAAGAGGAACACCUGCGGCGAAGGCGGGUUGCUGGGCCGACACUGACGCUGAAGCGCGAAAGCCAGGGGAGCGAACGGG
rnacentral:rRNA from 1 species